GUGCAUUCUCUGAGGUUUUUUGAGAGAAAAAGAAAGGGAGAGAGGGCUAUGGGUUAGGGCUUCAACAUCCAUCAAAGGGGAAGCCUUGAAGACAUCCUAGAGCUUCGGAUCCGAGCUUGUGAGCUCAUGAGAAGAAGAAGUGAAGGUUUUCAAACCCUAGCCGCCAUCCUUUGUUUUUUCCGAUAUAGUCUCUCGUUUGAACCAAAAAAGAGAGAGAGAUCUUGCCUCUUUCCUUUUCUUUUUUUCUUUUUGGUGUGUGGUGCCGGCGGCGAGGACGGAGAUAGACCUCUUCGUCAAGGUUAUGUGGUUAUCGUUGGGAGGGUAUUUUGUGGAAGCCUAAUUUCGUGGCGCUUAUAGUUUUGAUGUUAGCUAGUCAGGU